CUGAGAGCCUGAGGAGUGACUGAGGCCACGUGGUGGGAGGGAGCGCUGAGCUUUGGGGGCACCUGGGGUCCCGGGUCUGUGUCGAGGGGGAGGGAAGCUUGGGCCCCAUGAUCUGGGGACCUCCCAGAGGAAGGGAGGCAGGAGAGGACGGGCGAGGAGUAGCGUGCUUCACCUCGUGUCACCUCCCCUCUAGGCACUUCCCCUCUGGGUGGCUGGGAGGGUCCGAGGGGAGACCCCGCGCGGCCAUGCAUCUGGCGCCUUGUACGGUUGGUCCUGGGAGAUGGCAGGUGCUCAGUCCGCCCUGUCCGGGGGUGGGGGGGGCAUGUCGAGCAGAGGGAAGGCAGCUGCAACCCCGAUGUGAGGGUGGACGAGGGGGGCCCCGAUGGCCUCCUUGUGCGUGGUCCUCCGUCAGCCUGCCACCAGCUAGGCCUGGGAAUGGCCUAGAACUUUUGGGAGACCAGGGAGGUGGCUUUGCUUCUUUUGGUCUCUAUUCCACACAAUCGGGGGUGCCGCGUAACACUGUGUGUUAGAUAGGCCCUCCUUCCCUCAUCUCCCUGGGCUCCUCCCCUCCCCCCCCUCCUCCCCUCCCUCCUCACCCCUCCCCUCCCUCCCCUGCCUCCCUCCCUCCUUCCUUUCAUCUAGUUUCCUUUCUGCCCCUUACUUACCAUCCCGGCUGUCAUUCUCCCCUCCCCCAUCCAUCCAUCUUCUCCCCCAUCCUCACACGGGGUCACGGAUCCCCCCCCCCCCCCCGCCCCCGUUAAAGGAGUGGUUAAGCGUCAUCAGUGUUUUUCAGAUUUUCACCUGGGAACCUUGCAUUUUGGAAGAUUGCUAAACUGCUGAGUAAAUUAAGUUCUAUCCAACUUAUUUCCUCAUUUUAAAAUGUCAGUCAGAGCUCCCUCGUGGGUGGGUGCUAUGUGGGUCUGAGCCUCCCCAACAGCAGCCAAAGGAUCUAGAAGCUUCCAUAGCCCUGCAUUCCCCGGAGCCCGUUUGCCCCGUUUGGGGGACAUCCGGAGACCCCUGGCCCAUGGGGCUCCUGGGGCUGUGGGCCAGCAGGGCCUCUGCUCUGGGGAGCUCCACAGUAGAGGGAGUGAGUGACCUUUUGUCCCACUCUGCAGAGGGGCUUUCUGUUCCUCAUUGUUGAGCCAUGACAAGGCUGUGGCUGGUGGUUUUUUUUCUCCUGUCCGAGAGGAUAAACAAGCCUGGAGAUUGCUCAAGGGAGGGCUGACCCCCCCUGCCUGCUGCCAGCCUCUGGGCUCUGGGAUCACACAGAGCAGCAGGAGGAAGUAUAGGGAAGGGCGUUAGUAACGAGAUGGUGACUGGAAAAGGCCCUGGAGGGGAGAGCUCAGGGCAGUGGCCUGGGGAGGCUGUGUGAGGGGGCGGACUGUGGGGGGGGGUCCUGCUGCCUGCCUUUGUCCAGGAACCCUUGGCCUGUGGCUGGAGAGAGAACAUGGACUUGGCCAGGGCAGGGCCCUUUCCCAUCAGGCCUUUUGGACCCUGACAGGAAAUCCUCCCCCUACCCCGGCCAGGGCAGGCCUCCCGGGACUGCACCCCAGGAGCUGCUCUGAGGGUGAGGGUUUCUCUCUGCCCGUUGGAGCUGCACCGGCCUGGUGCUUCUCGGCCGCACGCGAGUGAGGGGCCUCCCUAGGUACUGCCCAGGGUCUGGUGGUGAUGAAGCCCACGGCGUGAUGGGUCAGGUGGCCUGCAAGGGGUCUGCAAGAGAAGGAGGUAGAGCCCUCCCUGCUCUCUGGGGACAGGCAGCUGCCUCUGGGGUGCUCAGCUGGAGGGAGAGACACAGCCCCUUCCCUUCGGGAAGCCGCAUAGCUGCAGCCUGCAGGGAAGCCCGUCUGGGGACAAUUAGGCCCCCCGCUGUGGUUGGUGUGCAGUUGAAGCAUGUAUAGAAAGGGGGCUGCAGAAAGUAUGAUUUCUCGGGCUCAGGGCUCCCCUGGCUUUGGUCUCUGGGUCUCCUGUCUGUACCCCCCCCC